CGGGGGCGCGCGGGGGCUACGGGAGGCAGCAGUUAGGAAUCUUCCCCAAUGGACGAAAGUCUGAGGGACGACGCCGCGUGAGGGAUGAAGGUUUUCGGAUCGUAAACCUCUGAAUCUGGGACGAAAGACGCGAAGAGCGGAGAUAACGGUACCAGAGUAAUACGACGCUACAUGCC
rnacentral:rRNA from 1 species